ACGGGAGGCAGCAGUGGGGAAUAUUGCACAAUGGAGGAAACUCUGAUGCAGCAACGCCGCGUGAGCGAUGAAGGUCUUCGGAUCGUAAAGCUCUGUCCUUAGGGACGAAGAAAGUGACGGUACCUAAGGAGGAAGCCCCGGCUAACUACGUGCCAGCAGCCGCGGUAAUACGUAGGGGGCGAGCGUUAUCCGGAAUUAUUGGGCGUAAAGAGUACGUAGGUGGUUUUGUAAGCGUAAGGUGAAGGCCCGGGGCUUAACUCCGGUUAGCCUUACGAACUGCAAGACUUGAGUGCAGGAGGGGAAAGUGGAAUUCCUAGUGUAGCGGUGAAAUGCGUAGAUAUUAGGAGGGACACCAGUGGCGAAGGCGGCUUGCUGGACGACAACUGACGCUGAGGCGCGAAAGCGUGGGGAGCAAACAGGAUUAGAUACCCUGGUA
rnacentral:rRNA from 1 species